AAGUUUCACUCUCGUCACACAGGCUGGAGUGCAAUGGCAUGAUCUACACUCACUGCAACCUCUGACUCAUGGGUUCAAGUGAUUCUCCUACCUCAGCCUAUCAAGUAGUUGGGAUUACAGCUGUAUUCCAUUCACUCCAUCAGAUCUUCUGCCUUCCACUGCUCCCUGGUAGACCCACAGGACAAUGAUCUCUAUGAACUGCAUCAAGUGUUUCCCUUGCCCUGCAGUUUCUAGUUGAGCUUGGCUAAUGGAUAUCCCUGGCAGGAGAUCAGAGAUAGAGCCCUGCCUGUAGUGCACAGCAGAGAAGAGGAACUCCGUAAAGGAAACUGAGAAGGGGCAGGCAGACAGGAGACGGG